CGGGGUUUCGGGCAGCCAUGGAGAAUUUUCGGCAAGAUUUUACCCCAGUGAAAAAGGCUUGUAAUCCACAGUGAUCAGCUAAGAUGUUGUUUCACUGGAUUAUUUAAUUGGGCAUAUAAUUGAAUAAUUCUGGAUCAGCUGAGAUGUUAUUUCACUGGAUUAUUUAAUGGAUAGACUUAUUGGGCAUAUAUUUGGAUAUCUCUGUCCUCAACCUGGAAGAUAUGUUUUGUUCCUAACCAUCUAUAAUCCAUUCUCUAUGAAGUUCAGACUGUCUGCUCUUCCUUUGGAAAUACACUGUUAAUUAACCAACAUAGAAACACGCAAACU